GCAUAGCUCUUUUAGGUCAAAUGCUGAGGUCCAAGAACACUGCAGCUCAACAUUGAAGGCAUUAACACUGCCAAGAACAACAACAACAUGUUACAACUUCACUGUUCACUGAUGAAGAACCUAAAAAAGCUGGUCAGUUGAGUGAAUAUGAUUUUCAAGGUUUGAUAUAAAUCUGAAUCAUCUAACAUGAACUAUGUGUUUUCAGCUAGGCACAAAGGAAGGCUAUCUGACGAAACAAGGAGCAUUUGUGAAGAACUGGAAACAGAGAUGGUUCACACUCAACAGAUGUGAACUCAAAUACUUCAAAGACAAAGGGAGUGAGGAGCCCAUCCGGACCGUGGACCUCAGAGCCUGCUCUGCAGUACAGUUUGACUACUCUCAGGAACGAGUCAACUGUUUCUGGUAGGUGAUGUAGUGGUAGGACCUUAUUCAGCACUGAGAGGCUGCAUUACUGAUUUUACAUAAAGAGUGUGGCAAUGUUUGUGUUUGCGUCGACUG